CGAGAGGCCCAAACGUUAUUCGGAUUUACUGGGCUUAAAGAGUUCGUAGGCGGUCCGUCAAGUGAGGUGUGAAAGCCCUCGGCUCAACCGAGGAAUUGCGCUUCAAACUGUCGGGCUCGAGGGAGAUAGAGGUGAGCGGAACUGAUGGUGGAGCGGUGAAAUGCGUUGAUAUCAUCAGGAACACCAGAGGCGAAGGCGGCUCACUGGGUCUUUUCUGACGCUGAGGAACGAAAGCUAGGGGAGCAAACGGGAUUAGAUACCCCGGUAGUCCUAGCCGUAAACGAUGAGCACUGGACCGGAGCUCUGCACAGGGUUUCGGUCGUAGCGAAAGUGUUAAGUGCUCCGCCUGGGGGAGUAUGGUCGCAAGGCUG
rnacentral:rRNA from 1 species